rnacentral:rRNA from 1 species
CUGCUGCCUUCCGUAGGAGUUUGGACCGUGUCUCAGUUCCAAUGUGGGGGACCUUCCUCUCAGAACCCCUAUCCAUCGUCGUCUUGGUGGGCCGUUACCCCGCCAACUAACUAAUGGAACGCAUCCCCAUCGAUAACCGAAAUUCUUUAAUAUCAAGAUCAUGCGACCUUGAUAUCCUAUCGGAUAUUAAUCUUUCUUUCGAAAGGCUAUCCCCGAGUUAU